AUCCGGCUGACGAGUCCCAAACAGGACGAAACGUGCAUCCUGGAU
rnacentral:hammerhead_ribozyme from 1 species